rnacentral:rRNA from 1 species
GACGAACCGAGCGAACGUUGUUCGGAAUCACUGGGCUUAAAGGGCGCGUAGGCGGGUGCUCAAGUCCGUGGUGAAAUCCUCCGGCUCAACCGGAGAACUGCCUCGGAUACUGGGUGCCUCGAGGGUGGUAGGGGUAUGCGGAACUAUCGGUGGAGCGGUGAAAUGCGUUGAUAUCGAUAGGAACUCCGGUGGCGAAGGCGCAUACUGGACCACCUCUGACGCUGAGGCGCGAAAGCCAGGGGAGCAAACGGG